rnacentral:rRNA from 1 species
AGCGAACGCUGGCGGCAGGCCUAACACAUGCAAGUCGAACGAACCCUUCGGGGUUAGUGGCGGACGGGUGAGUAACACGUGGGAACGUGCCCUUUGGUUCGGAAUAACUCAGGGAAACUUGAGCUAAUACCGGAUGUGCCCUUCGGGGGAAAGAUUUAUCGCCAUUGGAGCGGCCCGCGUCGGAUUAGCUAGUUGGUGGGGUAAAGGCCCACCAAGGCGACGAUCCGUAGCUGGUCUGAGAGGAUGUUCAGCCACACUGGGACUGAGACACGGCCCAGACUCCUACGGGAGGCAGCAGUGGGGAAUCUUGCGCAAUGGGCGAAAGCCUGACGCAGCCAUGCCGCGUGAAUGAUGAAGGUCUUAGGAUUGUAAGAUUCUUUCACCGGGGACGAUAAUGACGGUACCCGGAGAAGAAGCCCCGGCUAACUUCGUGCCAGCCGCCGCAGUAACAC